GUGACCUCAGGUCAGGUGGGAUCACCCGCUGAGUUUAAGCAUAUCAAUAAGCGGAGGAAAAGAAACUUACCAAGAUUCCCCUAGUAAAGGUGAGCGAACCGGGAAGAGCCCAACUUGAGAAUCAGGCGCCUUCGGUAUCUGAAUUGUAGUCUAAAAAAGUGUCCUCAGUGGCAGACCGGGCCCAAGUCCCCUAGAAAGGGGCAUCGGAGAGGGUGAGAGCCCCGUUGUGCCCGGAUCCUAUCGCACCAUGAGGCACUAUCUGUAAGUCUGGUUGUUUGGGAAUGCAGCCCCAAUCGGGCGAUAAAUUUCGUCCAAGGCUGAAUAUGGGCGGGAGACCGAUAGCGAAUAAGUACUGUGAGGGAAAGAUGAAAAUGACUUUGAAAAGAGAGUCAAAGAGUGCUUGAAAUUGUCAGGAGGGAAGCGGAUGGGGGCCAAUGAUGCGCCCUGAUCAAAUGUGGAACGACAAGAGCCGAUCCAUCGAUCGACUCGGGACGUGGACCGACUCGGGUCGUGACGGUGGCCCAAGCCUGGGCUUUCGAUGUGCCCAUAGAGACGUCAUCACCAUGAUAGUGGAAUGCAGCAUGCGCCAUCUCGGCAUGCCUCGGCACUAGCAUGCUCCAGGCAUCGACCUACGGGCUCCCCAUCUGACCCGUCUUGAAACACGGACCUAGGAGUCUGACAUGUGUGCGAGUCAACGGGCUAGGAAACCCAUAAGGCACAAGAAAGCUGAUUGGUGGGAUCCCUCACAGGUGCACCAUCGAUCGAUCUUGAUCUUCUGAGAAGGGUUCGAGUGUGAGCAUGCCCGUCAAGACCCGAAAGAUGGUGAACUAUGCUUGAGAGAGGUGAAGCCAGAGGAAACUCUGGUGGAGGCCCGCAGUGAUACUGACGUGCAAAUCAUUCAUCUGACUUGGGUAUAGGGGCGAAAGAGUAAUCGAACCGUCUAGUAGCUAAUUCCCUCUAAAGUUUCCCUCAGGAUAGCUGAAGCCCCCGUCGAGUUCUAUCGGGUAAAGCCAAAUAGGUAGGACGGUGUGACUGCUUCGUUGAGUCGUUCCACGGAAUCGAGAGCUCCAAGUGGGUCAUUUUUGGUAAGUAGAACUGGCGAUGCUGGAUGAACCGAAAGUCGGGUUACGGUGCCCAACUACGUGCUAACCCAGAACCCACAAAGGGUGUUAGUCGAUUAAGAUAGCAGGACGGUGGUCAUGGAAGUUGAAAUUCACUAAGGAGUGUGUAACAACUCACCUGUCGAAUCAACUAGCCCCGAAAAUGGAUGGCGCUUAAGCGCGUGACCUAUACCUGACCGUCGGGGUAAAGGCCAGGCCUCGAUGAGUAGGAGGGUGUGGCAACCACCGUAAAACCUGAGGCACGAGCUCAGGCGGAGCGACCGUCGGUGCAAAUCUUGGUGGUAGUAGCAAAUUUUCAAAUGAGAACUUCAAAGGCCGAAGAGGGGAAAGGUUCCAUGUGAACGGCACUUGCACAUGGGUUAGUCAAUCCUAAGAGAUGGGGGAAGCUCGUCCGACAGCAUGUCCCGUACGAGCUUCAAAAAGGAAUUGGGUUAAAAUUCCUGAACCAGAAUGCGACGGCUGACGGUAACAUUAGAGAGUCCGAAGACGUCGGUGGGGACCUCGGAAAGAGUUAUCUUUUCUGUUUAAUAGCCCGUCCACCCUAGAAACGGCUUAGUCAGAGGUAGGGUCCAAUGGUCGAAAGAGCACCGCACGUGGCAUGGUGUUCGGUGUGCCCCUAAUGGCCCUUGAAAAUUUGAAGGACCGAGUGCCAUCUGCACCCGGUCGUACUCAUAACCUCAUCAGGUCUCCAAGUUGAAUAGCCUCUGGUCGAUGGAACAAUGUAAGGAAGGGAAGUCGAUAAAAUGGAUCCGUAACCUCGAAAAAAAGAUUGGCUCCGAGGGCUAGGCACGGGGGUCCCAGUCCCGAACCCGUCGACUGUCGGUGCACUGCUUGAGCUACUCCGUGAUGAGAGUGGUCGUCGCGUGUCGGUCGGGGGAUGGACUGGGAACGGCUCCCUCGAGGGCCUUCCCCGAGCGAUGAGCAGUUGACUUAGAACUAGUACAGACAGGGAGAAUCUGACUGUUUAAUUAAAACAAAGCAUUAUGAUGGUCCCUACGGAUGCUCACGCAAUGUGAUUUCUGCCCAGUGCUAUGAAUGUCAAAGUGAAGAAAUUCAACCCAAGUGCGGGUAAAUGGUGACAGUAACUAUGACUCUCUUAAGGUAGCCAAAUGCCUCGUCAUCUAAUUAGUGAUGCACAUGAAUAGAUUAACGAGAUUCCCACUGUCUCUGUCUACUAUCCAACGAAACCACAGCCAAGGGAAUGGGCUUGGCGGAAUCAACGGGGAAAGAAGACCCUGUUGAGCUUAACUCUAGUCCAACUUUGUGAAAUGACUUGAGAGGUGUAGGAUAAGUGGGAGCCCCCAGGCAAAACUGAAAUACCAUUACUUUUAACGUUAUUUUACUUAUUCCGUGAAUUGGAGGUGGGGCAAGACCCCUUCUUUUGGACCCAAGGUCGGCCUCAGCCAGUCGAUCCGAGCGGAAAACAUUGUCAGGUGGGGAGUUUGGCUGAGGUGGCACAUCUGUUAAAAGAUAACGCAGGUGUCCUAAGAUGAGCUCAACGAGAAUAGAAAUCUCGUGUGGAACAAAAGGGUAAAAGCUCUCUUGAUUUUGAUUUCCAGUACGAAUACGAACCGUGAAAGUGUGGCCUAUCGAUUUUUUAGACCUUCGGGAUUUGAAGCUAGAGGUGUCAGAAAAGUUACCAUAGGGAUAACUGGCUUAUGGUAGCCAAACGUUCAUAGCGAUGUUGCUUUUUGAUCCUUCGAUGUCAGCUCUUCCUAUCAUUGUAAAGUAGAAUUCACCAAGUGUUGGAUUGUUCACCCACCAAUAUAGAACAUGAGUUGGGUUUAGACCGUCCUGAGACAAGUUAGUUUUACCCUACUGAUGGCGGCGUCGUGAUAGUAAUUCAACCUAGUACGAGAGGAACCGUUGAUUCAUACAAUUGGUCAUCGCACUUAGUUGAAAAGCCAGUGGCAUGAAGCUACCAUACGCUAGAUUAUGACUAAACGCCUCUAAGUCAGAAUUCAGGCUAGAAGCAACGUGCGGGCCCACCGCCCAAUUGCCGACCCGCAGUAGGGGCCCAUAGCCCCCAAGGGCACGUGUCGUAAGGGUAGCCCCUGUGGUGGAUGAGCCGUACGGGCCUCUUUGGAGCUCAAUUCC
rnacentral:rRNA from 1 species